rnacentral:rRNA from 1 species
GAUGAACGCUGGCGGCGUGCUUAACACAUGCAAGUCGAACGGUGAAGCAGGAGCUUGCUCUUGUGGAUCAGUGGCGAACGGGUGAGUAACACGUGAGCAACCUGCCCCUGACUCUGGGAUAAGCGCUGGAAACGGCGUCUAAUACUGGAUAUGUGAUGUGACCGCAUGGUCUGCAUCUGGAAAGAAUUUCGGUUGGGGAUGGGCUCGCGGCCUAUCAGCUUGUUGGUGAGGUAAUGGCUCACCAAGGCGUCGACGGGUAGCCGGCCUGAGAGGGUGACCGGCCACAAUGGGACUGAGACACGGCCCAGACUCCUACGGGAGGCAGCAGUGGGGAAUAUUGCACAAUGGGCGGAAGCCUGAUGCAGCAACGCCGCGUGAGGGGUGACGGCCUUCGGGUUGUAAACCUCUUUUAGCAGGGAAGAAGCGAAAGUGACGGUACCUGCAGAAAAAGCACCGGCUAACUACGUGCCAGCCGCCGCAGUAA